GAUGAACGCUGGCGGCGUGCCUAAUACAUGCAAGUCGAGCGAACGGACGAGAAGCUUGCUUCUCUGAUGUUAGCGGCGGACGGGUGAGUAACACGUGGAUAACCUACCUAUAAGACUGGGAUAACUUCGGGAAACCGGAGCUAAUACCGGAUGAUAUUUUGAACCGCAUGGUUCUAAAAUGAAAGACCGUCUUGCUGUCACUUACACAUGGAUCCGCGCUGCCUUAGCUAGUUGGUAAGGUAACGGCUUACCAAGGCAACGAUGCAUAGCCGACCUGAGAGGGUGAUCGACCACACUGGAACUGAGACACGGUCCAGACUCCUACGGGAGGCAGCAGUAGGGAAUCUUCCGCAGUGGGCGAAAGCCUGACGGAGCAACGCCGCGUGAGUGAUGAAGGUCUUCGGAUCGUAAAACUCUGUUAUUAGGGAAGAACAUAUGUGUAAGUAACUGUGCACAUCUUGACGGUACCUAAUCAGAAAGCCACGGCUAACUACGUG
rnacentral:rRNA from 1 species